GCGUUGUCCUUGGGAUGCGGCGCGAUUCGCCCUUCAGGCCUAACACAUGCAAGUCGAGGGGCAUCACAUGAGGUAGCAAUACUUCUGGUGGCGACCGGCGCACGGGUGAGUAACACGUAUGCAACCUGCCUUCAACAAGGGCAUAACCCGUUGAAAGACGGACUAAUUCCCUAUGACACAGGGGUCCCGCAUGGGGAUAUUUGUUAAAGAUAUUAUCGGUUGAAGAUGGGCAUGCGUUCCAUUAGCUUGUUGGCGGGGUAACGGCCCACCAAGGCAACGAUGGAUAGGGGAACUGAGAGGUUUAUCCCCCACACUGGUACUGAGACACGGACCAGACUCCUACGGGAGGCAGCAGUGAGGAAUAUUGGUCAAUGGACGCAAGUCUGAACCAGCCACGUCGCGUGAAGGAAGAUGGCCCUACGGGUUGUAAACUUCUUUUGCAAGGGAAUAAAGUGAGUCACGUGUGACUUUUUGCAAGUACCUUGCGAAUAAGGAUCGGCUAACUCCGUGCCAGCAGCCGCGGUAAUACGGAGGAUCCGAGCGUUAUCCGGAUUUAUUGGGUUUAAAGGGUGCUCAGGCGGGCGAUUAAGUCGGCGGUGAAAUUUUGCGGCUCAACCGUAAAAGUGCCUUCGAAACUGGUUGCCUUGAGUGUGGAUGAGGUAGGCGGAAUUUGUGGUGUAGCGGUGAAAUGCAUAGAUAUCACGAGGAACUCCGAUUGCGCAGGCAGCUUACUAAGCCAUAACUGACGCUCAAGCACGAAGGCGUGGGGAUCAAACAGGAUUAGAUACCCUGGUAGUCCACGCAGUAAACGAUGUUCACUCGCUGUUUGCGAUAUACUGUAAGCGGCUUAGUUAAAGCAUUAAGUGAACCACCUGGGGAGUACGAUCGCAAGGUUGAAACUCAAAGGAAUUGACGGGGGCCCCGACAAACGGAAGAAAAUGUUGGUUAAUUUCGAUGAUACGUCAAAGAAAAUUAAACUGGGCUUAAAAUUCAGGAAUGCUGACUGGGGAAAAUAAAACUUUCCCCUUCGGGGGCUUUCUUGGCAAGGGGUGGCAGG
rnacentral:rRNA from 1 species